AUUGAACGCUGGCGGCAGGCCUAACACAUGCAAGUCGAGCGAGCGGAGGACGGGUGAGGAAUGUAUGGGGACUGCCCGAUAGAGGGGGCUAACUACUGGAAACGGUAGCUAAUACCGCAUACUAUCGGCGAACCCAUAUGGGAUUAGCUCGUAGGUGAGGUAAUGGCUCACCUAGGCGACGAUCCCUAGCUGGUCUGAGAGGAUGAUCAGCCACACUGGUACUGAGACACGGCCCAGACUCCUCCGGAGGCAGCAGUGGGGAAUAUUGCACAAUGGGCGCAAGCCUGAUACAGCCAUGCCGCGUGUAUGAAGAAGGCCCUAGGGUUUUAAAGUACUUUCAGUCGGGAGGCGUUACCGACAGAAGAAGCACCGGCUAACUCCGUGCCAGCAGCCGCGGUAAUUC
rnacentral:rRNA from 1 species